rnacentral:rRNA from 1 species
UACACUCCUGCGGGAGGCAGCAGUGGGGAAUAUUGGACAAUGGGCGCAAGCCUGAUCCAGCCAUGCCGCGUGAGUGAUGAAGGCCCUAGGGUUGUAAAGCUCUUUCACCGGUGAAGAUAAUGACGGUAACCGGAGAAGAAGCCCCGGCUAACUUCGUGCCAGCAGCCGCGGUAAUACGAAGGGGGCUAGCGUUGUUCGGAUUUACUGGGCGUAAAGCGCACGUAGGCGGACUAUUAAGUCAGGGGUGAAAUCCCGGGGCUCAACCCCGGAACUGCCUUUGAUACUGGUAGUCUUGAGUUCGAGAGAGGUGAGUGGAAUUCCGAGUGUAGAGGUGAAAUUCGUAGAUAUUCGGAGGAACACCAGUGGCGAAGGCGGCUCACUGGCUCGAUACUGACGCUGAGGUGCGAAAGCGUGGGGAGCAAACAGGAUUAGAAACCCCGGUAGUCCC